rnacentral:rRNA from 1 species
UUCUUACUGAAUAAAUUUAUACUAAGUAUAACCUGCUCAAUGAUAUUUUUAAAUAGCCGCAGAAUUUUUACUGUGCUAAGGUAGCAUAAUCAUUAGCCUCUUAAUUAGAGGCUCGUAUGAAAGGUGUAACCUUUUAAUUUCUUUAUUUUAUAUUAAUUUUUAACUUAAAUUAAAGAUUAAAAUGUCUUUAUAAAUUAAAAAGACGACAAGACCCUUUUGAACUUUACUUUAGUUAGGCUGGGGAAGCCAUAAAAUUACAAUCUUUUUGUUAUUAUUUAUAUAAUUGACCCAAUUAAAUUGAUUAUUUGAUCAAGUUACCAUAGGGAUAACAGCGUAAUAUCUUUUUCAAGUUCUUAUUAAUAAAGAAGAUUGCGACCUCGAUGUUGAAUUAAUGAAACUUUUUCACGCAAAAGUAAAAAAAGCAGGCCUGUUCGUCCUAUAAUUCAUUACAU